rnacentral:lncRNA from 1 species
GCCCUAGGAAGAGGUCUGGUGGAUGAAGAGGGAGGUUACAAAGAGCGAGCCGAUUACAGGGUGUCAGAGCUCCAGGUCCUGGGUGGCUGGCAGUGACUUCUGCUUUCAUCCCACAGACAUCUGCGGAAUACAAUGUCUGACUUCUCGGCACUCCAUUUGCUUGGAGACUGGACAGAUCCUCGUUCCAUCUGUCUUCUCCGGAUUAAUGCAGAGGGAGAGGCAAAGGAGAAAGACAAGAGACGAGGAAGGAUCUUACCUACCUGGCAAUGUGGAUCUGGCUUCAUGUUCUGCAGUCUUGGCAGGUAUUCAAACCCAUCUCCUUCUAUCAUGGGUGCCUUCCAGAGUUUUUCAACAUUUUCUCUGGAAUAUUCAGCUGUAUUUUCCAUUAUCUGGGCAACGUAUCCUUCUCUGGCCAUCAGAACUCCCAUCAGCGUCUGAUUUCUGAUGGUCCAUUUAUAUCAGCUCUCCUGUCGGUCCUAUCAUCCUUACAGGUGGUCUUCUUAGGGAGUGUCAGGCAGCUGUGUCUUUAUGGUCCACUUCUAGAUCAUGAGCAUGACUCAUGGAAUUGUAGUAGAAUUGUAGUUAACUUCAAUACGGCCUGCGAUUUCUCUUCCUGUCCUACUGUUUCCAGCUGAAAGCUACAAAUUCUUGCCUUUAGAGUCCUUAGCAUUUGUUAGGCUUAUGCUCACGGCGUACCCGCUAAUGCCUGGAAUCCAUCUCAAGUUCUCCGAGUGGCUCUGUUGAAGCUUACGUGUUGCAAUGAGGGGCAAAGAGUUUGGACAGAGAAUAAACUCACAGUACUCCACUGAUUUCCCA